CAACGAUGAAGAACGCAGCGAAAUGCGAUACCUAGUGUGAAUUGCAGAAUUCCGCGAAUCAUCGAGUUUUUGAACGCAAGUUGCGCCCGAGGCUCGUCCCGAGGGCAUGCCCGCCUGAGCGUCCGC
rnacentral:rRNA from 2 species